rnacentral:rRNA from 1 species
UCCAGACUCCUACGGGAGGCAGCAGUGGGGGAUAUUGCACAAUGGGGGGAACCCUGAUGCAGCGACGCCGCGUGGGUGAAGAAGCGCCUCGGCGCGUAAAGCCCUGUCAGCAGGGAAGAAAAUGACGGUACCUGAAGAAGAAGCCCCGGCUAACUACGUGCCAGCAGCCGCGGUAAUACGUAGGGGGCAAGCGUUAUCCGGAUUUACUGGGUGUAAAGGGAGCGUAGACGGCAGCGCAAGUCUGGAGUGAAAUGCCGGGGCCCAACCCCGGAACUGCUCUGGAAACUGUGAAGCUGGAGUGCAGGAGAGGUAAGCGGAAUUCCUGGUGUAGCGGUGAAAUGCUUAGAUAUCAUGAAGAACUCCGAUCGCGAAGGCAAGUGUCCGGGGUGCAACUGACGCUGAGGCUCGAAAGUGCGGGUAUCAAACAGGAUUAGAUACCCGGGUAUU